rnacentral:rRNA from 1 species
AGUUUGAUCCUGGCUCAGGAUGAACGCUGGCGGCGUGCCUAAUACAUGCAAGUCGAGCGAACAGACGAGGAGCUUGCUCCUCUGACGUUAGCGGCGGACGGGUGAGUAACACGUGGAUAACCUACCUAUAAGACUGGGAUAACUUCGGGAAACCGGAGCUAAUACCGGAUAAUAUAUUGAACCGCAUGGUUCAAUAGUGAAAGACGGUUUUGCUGUCACUUAUAGAUGGAUCCGCGCCGCAUUAGCUAGUUGGUAAGGUAACGGCUUACCAAGGCAACGAUGCGUAGCCGACCUGAGAGGGUGAUCGGCCACACUGGAACUGAGACACGGUCCAGACUCCUACGGGAGGCAGCAGUAGGGAAUCUUCCGCAAUGGGCGAAAGCCUGACGGAGCAACGCCGCGUGAGUGAUGAAGGUCUUCGGAUCGUAAAACUCUGUUAUUAGGGAAGAACAAAUGUGUAAGUAACUACGCACGUCUUGACGGUACCUAAUCAGAAAGCCACGGCUAACUACGUG